rnacentral:rRNA from 1 species
AAACUUAAAGGAAUUGACGGAAGGGCACCACCAGGAGUGGAGCCUGUGGCUUAAUUUGACUCAACACGGGAAAUCUCACCAGGCCCGGACACUGGAAGGAUUGACAGAUUGAGAGCUCUUUCUCGAUUCGGUGGGUGGUGGUGCAUGGCCGUUCUUAGUUGGUGGAGUGAUUUGUCUGGUUAAUUCCGAUAACGAACGAGACUCUGUCCUGCUAAAUAGUGUCUGCUUCUCUUUUGAGCAGACAAUUCUUCUUAGAGGGACUGGCGACUCUUAGUCGCACGAGAUUGAGCAAUAACAGGUCUGUGAUGCCCUUAG